AUUGAACGCUGGCGGAAUGCUUUACACAUGCAAGUCGAACGGCAGCACGGACUUCGGUCUGGUGGCGAGUGGCGAACGGGUGAGUAAUAUAUCGGAACGUGCCCAGUCGUGGGGGAUAACGUAGUGAAAAUUACGCUAAUACAGCAUACGAUCUAUGGAUGAAAGCGGGGGAUCGCAAGACCUCGCGCGAUUGGAGCGGCCGAUAUCAGAUUAGGUAGUUGGUGAGGUAAAGGCUCACCAAGCCGACGAUCUGUAGCUGGUCUGAGAGGACGACCAGCCACACUGGAACUGAGACACGGUCCAGACUCCUACGGGAGGCAGCAGUGUGGAAUUUUGGACAAUGGACGCAAGUCUGAUCCAGCCAUUCCGCGUGCAGGACGAAGGCCUUCGGGUUGUAAACUGCUUUUGUACAGAACGAAAAGGUCUCUAUUAAUACUAGGGGCUCAUGACGGUACUGUAAGAAUAAGCACCGGCUAACUACGUGCCAGCAGCCGCGGUAA
rnacentral:rRNA from 1 species